rnacentral:lncRNA from 1 species
CAGCUUUCUGCCCACAGGUCCUGUCCCUGUACUUUAAUAAACCACCUUUUUGCACCAAAGACCUCUCAAGAAUUUUUUCUUGGCCAUUGACUUCGAACUCUAACAUCUUUCCUACAUCAAUGACAGCGGUGGAAUGAUCAAAAUGACAAUAAGGACAGCUAACGUUUAUUGAUUACUUACAAAGUGCCAGACCCUAUCCUUAAAACAAAUGUACGAGAUAAAUUCUAUUAUUCAUUUUACUACUUAACUCAGGUAGUUCACAUUUUUUUUCUUACCCUUGCAUUCCCUUGAGCACAGUAGGAAUUUAAUAAAUAUUUGGUGAAUAAAAGGAAAUUUAGUGUUGCCAAAUUUCUCAGCCGAAUGGGGCAAGACGGACUUCAGAGCCAGAGUGGGACUCAGAUGGCCGGUGGUUUCAUGUCCUUGGAGGUCAGCCAAAGCGCCAGAUCCGUGCCAGGAGCCAUAUAAACCAGUGGUUUAAAUUUCCUCGACUAUCGCUGCUGGACUGAAUGUAGGCUGGGGCGUAACGGGGACACAGAAAACAGAAAGAGGGGAUCUGAGGCGGGGACACCAUUCCCAGGGAGAGUCCGAGCGUCAGGGAAGCUGAAGCCACAACCCUCCCCCUCCUCCGGGGAAUCUCGGCCGGGGCCUCGGGUUUGACAGAUUAGAGUUUGGAGGCUGGCGGCCGCAGGCGCGUCCUGACGCUCUAGACCUGCGAGGAUGACGCACCGGAAGUCUCUACUGCUCCUCUGGGCAUACUCGCCCGCGACCUUUUUCCGUCCCUUCUGCGGCGCCGGAAGGAGAGCACAAACGUUCUGCUGCGUGCUGCUCAGAUGCUGGCAAACAAGUUGGAAUUUGACCUGUGAAAUCUUUCACGGAGAUGACUGUCUGGGAAAAGGAAACUCUAAGACAGAUUUUGUGCUAGAGUUGAUGUAACGCAUCCCAGGGAAGCAGAACUUGGAACUCAGGUGGCUCUAAGCAGGUAAGUUAAUAGCAGAGUAAACUUGCGAGAAACAAGCUUGUAUAAAAGAAUAAAAGAAAAGGAAACAGUAAGACCA